rnacentral:rRNA from 1 species
CUACGGGCUGCACCAGUUAGGAAUAUUGGACAAUGGGCGCAAGCCUGAUCCAGCCAUGCCGCGUGAGCGAUGACGGCCUUCGGGUUGUAAAGCUCUUUAGUCCACGACGAUAAUGACGGUAGUGGAAGAAUAAGCCCCGGCUAACUUCGUGCCAGCAGCCGCGGUAAUACGAAGGGGGCGAGCGUUGUUCGGAUUUACUGGGCAUAAAGCGUGUGUAGGCGGUUUUGAAAGUCAGAAGUGAAAGCCCGGGGCUCAACCUCGGAAAUGCUUUUGAAACUCCAAGACUUGAAUUCGGGAGAGGAUAGCGGAAUUUCCAGUGUAGAGGUGAAAUUCGUAGAUAUUGGAAAGAACACCAGUGGCGAAGGCGGCUAUCUGGACCGAAAUUGACGCUGAGACACGAAAGCGUGGGGAGCAAACAGGAUUAGAUACCCGCGUAGUC